AUACGGAGGGGGCAAGCGUUGUUCGGAAUCACUGGGCGUAAAGCGCGCGUAGGCGGAUUGAUCAGUCAGGGGUGAAAGCCCGAGGCUCAACCUCGGAACUGCCCUUGAUACUGUCAAUCUAGAGAUCGAGAGAGGUGAGUGGAAUUCCUAGUGUAGAGGUGAAAUUCGUAGAUAUUAGGAAGAACACCAGUGGCGAAGGCGGCUCACUGGCUCGAUACUGACGCUGAGGCGCGAAAGCGUGGGGAGCAAACAGGAUUAGAAACCCGAGUAGUCC
rnacentral:rRNA from 1 species